rnacentral:pre_miRNA from 1 species
CAUAUACUCCCUCCGUCCCAAAAUAAGUGACUCAAAAGUGACUUAACUUUGUAUUAAAAUUAAUACAAAGUUAAAUCAUUCUUGAAUCAUUUAUUUUGGGAUGGAGGGAGUAGAAA